UACGGAGGGUGCAAGCGUUAUCCGGAUUCACUGGGUUUAAAGGGAGCGUAGGUGGCUUUGUAAGUCAGUGGUGAAAUCUCGGGGCUCAACCCCGAAACUGCACUUGAUACUGCCUUGCUCGAGUACUGGAGAGGAGAUUGGAAUUUACGGUGUAGCAGUGAAAUGCGUAGAUAUCGUAAGGAAGACCAGUGGCGAAGGCGAAUCUCUGGACAGUUACUGACACUGAGGCACGAAGGCCAGGGGAGCAAACGGG
rnacentral:rRNA from 1 species